UUUAAUGAUUUUUGUUCCCUUCUUGGCGUGUUUUUAUUUCUUGGCUGAAAAAUGAAUAGACUGAGAGAUAAGGUGUGAGAAAGCCUUGGUGAGGCUGCCAACAUCCUAUCCCAGAUUCCUGAGCCACUGAAGACAUUGAGCCCUCCCUCCAGUUCCACAGUGGCCUGGUGUAGCUAGCCUGGGCGCCCUUCCGACUCUAAGGCCAGGGAUUGGUCCGUGGCACGCCUAACGUGGAAUUCUCCACACACACCUGGACCCCCUAUCCACGAGGAAGAAACAGGAAGGGCCCACUGAGUAUAGGAAGACGCCAGUGCCAUCUGUGGAAAACCAGGAGAAAAGUACUGCUUAAAUUCGACUGUUCCCCAGUUGGGGUCAGGACCAAGCGCCAGGAGGAAGCCUGGCGUCGGAGGGGCUGCAGCUAGAAACUGCCAGUCUGGCUCCAUACGGGCACCUUUUCCAUAGCUUCUCCUGCCCUUCCGGGGCUCGGGGGCGGGGCCUAGAGCGCUAUCCAAUCGGGGCGAUGGGGCGGGCGAUCAAACUGUCCAAUCAGGUGCGCCCCUGGGAAGAGCGGGCGAAGCCCCACAAUCCUCUGCGGCCUUUGAGUCUCCCGCGCGUCGCGGUCAGCUUCUGGUCUCGGCUGCUCAGACGCACGGCGUGUCUCCACCUCGGCUUCCGGCUGCGGGAGCCGCAGGGAGGACGCCGGGUCACCCCGGAGGCCAAGAAAUGAAAUGACAUCAUUGGAAGCUUUUGGUGUUGUCAGUAUUUUGGAGUUUGGCCAUUCUGAUAGGAUGGGCAUAUGGAUGACAUUCUCCUGCAAGGAAACUCAAAGGAUAUGGAGUACAAACACUCAUCAUAAUGGUCAGCCUAGGGAUGAUGCAUGUAUUAUCUUUUAUUGGCAUCAACUACAUUAAUUAAAGCAAAACCAACAUUUUUUGGAUUCCGAGGCAAAAUAUGCAUCAUGUAUAAAUAUUACCCUCUGUCCAAGCUCCUGAGCCUCCGCUUCCCCCAGCAGCUGACGUGCACCUGGUGAGGGGGACUGAAGUCUCCAGUCUUGAUGGUGGGGCUGCUGCUGGACUGAAGGGGGCAAUGAGACCUCAGUGGAAGUGACAGCUACCAAGGAGAGCACAGGAGAAGGAAGGAAGUAUGAAAUCCCUUCUGUAUCGGGCUGAGCUGAAGUCUCUGGGGAUUGGUUUGGGGUCAGGACACAGCCCUCUGCCACAAGGGAUGGAGUGGGUCACCAGGUUACUAUGACUCCUGUUACCGGGCUAAAGACAAAAUGGAUACCUCUUUAAAUCAUACCAUUCUACAAUGAACCUUGGUCCUUAAUCGCCAUCACACCCCAAACAAAGAUGAUGCCCAACUGGACGCAGAGACUGUUGAACUGUCUACCUACGUUGCCUGGGCUUUUGGUGAGGUUCCUGUUAAAGAAUACAUUUCCAUCUCUUGGUAUUAUCCUCCUGGUAGUCAUCAGUCUCCCUGGUGCCUCCUGUCCUCUCGAGAGUCUUAAAUGUUUGUAUGCAGCCAAUCAUGUGUCAAAUAGACUAGAACAGCAAAAACAUCAAGAAUCAUUCAACUGACCUAACAUUAUAACAUGUGAAUUCCAUACCAAGACCAAAUCAGUCUGUUAUGAUGGAGACAGUGUGGUGCAAUGCUGAAGGCUGACCAAAAGGGGGGGAAUUGUUAAAUAAACAGGAGCCCAUUGGCCUGA